rnacentral:misc_RNA from 1 species
GAUGAAGAACGCAGCGAAAUGCGAUAAGUAAUGUGAAUUGCAGAAUUCAGUGAAUCAUCGAAUCUUUGAACGCACAUUGCGCCCCUUGGUAUUCCGAGGGGCAUGCCUGUUCGAGCGUCAUUAUAACCCCUCAAGCUCAGCUUGGUGUUGGGGCCUGCUGCACUGGCAGCCCUUAAAAUCAGUGGCGGCGCCAUCUGGCUCUAAGCGUAGUAAUUCUUCUCGCUAUGGAGUCCUGGUGGAUGCUUGCCAUCAACCCCCAAUUUUUCUAUGGUUGACCUCGGAUCAGGUAGGGAUACCCGCUGAACUUAAGCAUAUAAUAAGCGGAGGA